rnacentral:rRNA from 1 species
AAUAGAUACCCGGGUAGUCCACGCCGUAAACGAUGAGUGCUAAGUGUUAGAGGGUUUCCGCCCUUUAGUGCUGCAGCAAACGCAUUAAGCACUCCGCCUGGGGAGUACGGUCGCAAGACUGAAACUCAAAGGAAUUGACGGGGGCCCGCACAAGCGGUGGAGCAUGUGGUUUAAUUCGAAGCAACGCGAAGAACCUUACCAGGUCUUGACAUCCUUAUGCCUUCUCUAGAGAUAGAGCUUUCCCUUCGGGGACAUAAGUGACAGGUGGUGCAUGGUUGUCGUCAGCUCGUGUCGUGAGAUGUUGGGUUAAGUCCCGCAACGAGCGCAACCCUUGAUCUUAGUUGCCAGCAUUCAGUUGGGCACUCUAAGGUGACUGCCGGUGACAAACCGGAGGAAGGUGGGGAUGACGUCAAAUCAUCAUGCCCCUUAUGACCUGGGCUACACACGUGCUACAAUGGAUGGUACAAAGGGAAGCGAAACCGCGAGGUUAAGCCAAUCCCAUAAAACCAUUCUCAGUUCGGAUUGCAGGCUG